AACGAACGCUGGCGGCAUGCUUAACACAUGCAAGUCGAACGGGGUACAUGUGCUUGCACAUGUACUUAGGUGCAGACGGGUGAGUAACGCGUGGGAACGUACCUUUUGGUUCAGGACAACGGCUGGAAACGGUCGCUAAUACUGAAUACGCCCUUAGGGGGAAAGAUUUUAUUGCCAAAGAGAGCGGCCCGCGUUAGAUUAGGUAGUUGGUGGGUAAUGGCUUACCAAGCCUGUGAUCUAUAGCUGGUUUGAGAGGAUGAUCAGCCACACUGGGACUGAGACACGGGCCCAGACUCCUACGGGAGGCAGCAGUGGGGAAUAUUGGACAAU
rnacentral:rRNA from 1 species